rnacentral:lncRNA from 1 species
AGCGGUUCCAGUUUCUUCAUCCAUUGCGUCCAGUGCUUGGGAGAGAUUAGUAUGUUCAGCUGAGAUCGAGUCUGGGUGGCUGCUGUAUCCGAGCUGGGCUUGAGCUUUGGCUUGGGCUGGUUUUUUUUGGCUGCAAAACUGUCUGAUGGCACAACUGCAACAUAAAGGUUAAAUAUGGCACAGGAAAAAAAAAAAAAAAAAAGAAACAGAGCGGGGAGAAGGAAGGAUUAGAGAAAAGAAACUAAUAUAAAUCAGUUGAGGUUCUUUUUAGUGAAGAGGUCUUUGAUCUCUGCUGGGUCUUACAGAUCUUUCUUUUAAAGAGAGAGAGAGAAAAGAAGAGAGGAGGGGGGAGAGAAGGGAAAAGCGGGGAGAGAUCUUUGGCAGGUGCAGAGUGAAAACCUCUUUCAGCUACACUGAAUUCUGGAGACUGGUUGGACUAGUAGCUCUGCAGCUCCAGCUUUCAGUGGGUGUGUUAAAUAUUAUGAGCGAGCCAUGAUUCCUGCCUUCCUCACGUCAUAGUUAGGAGAUUGGCUAAAUAAACGCUACAGUGAUAGUAACAGGAAAACCUCAACCAAAAGAGGGGUUUUUUUCCCUCCUCUCCUCCCUCCUUCCCACCCCCCCUUUUCAUUCUACUGCAGCUCCAACUGGGGCAAGGAGAGGGCGUCUGUUCCACAAAGGUUUGGGAAAAAAAAUAAAAUGAAACGAAAUAAAAUGUAAAGCGGUAGAGGAGAGAGGAUCCUGCGCUGCCAGCGCUGCGAGGCGGCAGCAGCAGCGCCGUGCGCCGGGCCGGGCCGGGAUGGGCGGCCCUGCUCCGCCGCCGCCGCGCUCAUCGCCCUCGCCCCCGGCCCCGCGGGGUCAGCCCGGGCUCCGCUGGCCGGGGAUCAGCCUCCGGGUCUGAUCCGGGAUCCCUCACCGGGAUCCAGCUGCCCUCCCUCCCCUUCCCCCCUCUCCGCUGCUGGCUCUGUGCCUGCUGGCCCAGCGGGCUAGUGGCAGCCCCGGGAGCACUGAGGCAGCCGUUUGACAGCCAGGGCACCCUGCAGGAACGAGCUGCCCCUGGCGCUUCAGGUGGUCAGGCAGGGAAUGCCCAGAACCGGCAGAACGAGGCAGGAACUCGGGGAAGGAGGCUGAUGUCACCUGGCUGUUUGUUUCUGCAAGCAGAGAGCGCAUCUUCAACUGGAUCCUGGAAGCACAGAGCUUUAUGAGGGUCUACUGCUAAUAGGAUAAUUUUUUAAGCAGAAAGGAGAGAAAGAAUGUGGGAGAAAACUCCUGCCAGGAACUUUGCUUGCGCAGACAGCCUCAAUUUUUGGCAAAAGAAGGUUUUCCUAUUUUAAGGUGAGCUGCUGAACCCUGAGAGCCAGGUCUGUCAGCAUGAGCAGCACACGUGUUUGCUUCAUGGCUGAGUGUCCAGCUAGGCACAAGUGGGACGGUUGUGGGGCUGGGACUCCAGCCUGAGAGCAGUUCAGGAUACAAGGAGCAGGCUGAGGGCUCUGUCCUUUGACACAGGAAAGGCUUUGGUGCUCUGCCUGCAGAGCAGGUGGACAAACCAAUUUUUCUGAUGCUGAACGUUUUCGCCCAGUCCUGUUCAUCAGUAUCUCAGUAUUGUGCUAAUUUUUCUCUCCCUUUCGUUUUCUUAUUAAA